rnacentral:rRNA from 1 species
UACGGGGGGAGCAAGCGUUGUUCGGAUUUACUGGGCGUAAAGGGCGCGCAGGCGGCUCAUUUUGUCAGGCGUGAAAGCCCCGGGCUUAACCUGGGAACUGCGUUUGAUACGGAUGGGCUAGAGUUCGGGAGAGGAGAGUGGAAUUCCCAGUGUAGAGGUGAAAUUCGUAGAUAUUGGGAAGAACACCGGUGGCGAAGGCGGCUCUCUGGACCGAGACUGACGCUGAGGCGCGAAAGCGUGGGGAGCAACAGG